UACGUAGGGUCCGAGCGUUGUCCGGAGUUACUGGGCGUAAAGCGCGCGCAGGCGGCGGUGUUGGCCCGGCGUGAAAGCCCCCGGCUCAACCGGGGAGAGUCGUCGGGGACCGCACCGCUUGAGGGCGGUAGGGGCUGGUGGAAUGCCUGGUGUAGUGGUGAAAUGCGUAGAGAUCAGGCAGAACACCUGGGGCGAAGGCGGUUCUCUGGGCAUGUCCUGACGCUGAGGAGCGAAAGUGUGGGGAGCGAACAGG
rnacentral:rRNA from 1 species